rnacentral:lncRNA from 1 species
CUUUUUUUUUAAUGGUAUUUUAAAUGAUAUUUUUUAAAGUAUCUGCUGCGCCUGCGGCCCUUGCUGGACACUGGAAAUCUGCUGGUCAGUGCCAAGUCCCUCCAGGAAGCAGUUUCCUUUCUUGUGGGGGUGAACGGGUGGCCAGUGAGAGGCGAAAGCUUGUGCGCACGGCUUAAGUAUCACAUGGCUUCUCUCACGGGAGGCCAGAGUAAGGAAGGAGCAACCGGAAGCUGCCUUGACUCCUGCCUUGCUGCCUUCCGCGCCUCCAGACACUCAGCCAGGAUCGGAGAGUUUGCCUCCUGAAGAUCUUCAGUUCCACAUUCUCCAUCUCACACCUGCAACCCCAGUUCAUCUCCCUCUGGACUGCUCCAGCAGCCUCCCAAACCUUCUUCCCUUUAACUCCACUGCAGACAGAGUUACCUCCCAAAAAACGCAUCUCAUCAAGCAAAUCCCCUGUUAAAAUCCUUUAAUGGCUCUCGUUAUACUCAGGGUAAAACCUAAAUCCCAUUAUAAAGGGUGCCCCAGCUGCUUCUCUGCUCAGCUUUUCAGCC